GGCAAGUUGGCCGAGUUGGUUAUGGCGCCAGGUUAAGGUCCAUCUUCACAUGAAAUAUAUCCUGGUGGAGCAAUCCUCCUGGGUUCAAGUCCCAGACUUGUCA